GACGAACGCUGGCGGCGUGCCUAAUACAUGCAAGUAGAACGCACAGUUUAUACCGUAGCUUGCUACACCAUAGACUGUGAGUUGCGAACGGGUGAGUAACGCGUAGGUAACCUGCCUGGUAGCGGGGGAUAACUAUUGGAAACGAUAGCUAAUACCGCAUAAUAUUGAUUAUUGCAUGAUAAUUAAUUGAAAGGUGCAAUUGCAUCACUACCAGAUGGACCUGCGUUGUAUUAGCUAGUAGGUGAGGUAACGGCUCACCUAGGCGACGAUACAUAGCCGACCUGAGAGGGUGAUCGGCCACACUGGGACUGAGACACGGCCCAGACUCCUACGGGAGGCAGCAGUAGGGAAUCUUCGGCAAUGGACGAAAGUCUGACCGAGCAACGCCGCGUGAGUGAAGAAGGGUUUCGGAUCGUAAAGCUCUGUUGUAAGAGAAGAACGGGUGUGAGAGUGGAAAGUUCACACUGUGACGGUAUCUUACCAGAAAGGGACGGCUAACUACGUG
rnacentral:rRNA from 1 species